AUCGUCACAGCUUAUAACAGCGGCCUACAUAGAGUGAGCUGAGGACACAGUGGGUGUUAGAGCAACAGGAACAGCUGCUUCCUGACGCUAGAGUACUGAAAGAGUCAUGAGAGCAUUUGAUAAUGGGGGCCGAAGAGACACAGUCUUUCUGUUUGUAUGAUGGUGAUGGCCUUCUGCACAGGACUGUACAGUAUAUCAUGCUUUUUCUAGUCUUUUUGACCACUCAGUGCUUUUACCCUUCAUGUCACAUUCACAAAUUCACACACUGAUGACAGGGGCUACCACACAGGGGCCAACCGGCCUAUCAGGAAGGAGACACACACUGUUGGCACAGCUGUGGUUAAAAAUCUUGCCCAAGGACACAUGGACAUGUGGACUGGAGAACCGCGAAUCGAAUCACCGAUCUUCUGAUUGAUGAACGGCAGCUCUGCCUCCUGAACCACAGCUGCCUAAACUCUGCUACAUCUUUGUCUUAUGAAUCAUCUUCACCCAUCGCCAUACUAAGAGAAUUCCUGACAGAAACUCAUAAAAUGUACUGAAUAAAGUGAGCCAAUGCAGGGUGUUGGCAUCGGGCACAAUUCCUGGCACAACAGAGGAGUCGGAAAGCCACAAAGUUCAAAAUGCUUCCUGAAGAUAAGCAGUUGUCCAAGUCUUUCCAGUUCAAGUUGGACAGUUCCAAGGUGGAUCGGCAAAGAAACCGUACACACUAUCCAGAGUUCUCCACAAAUAGUAAGAACUGACCUGUUAAGCUACCGUGGAAACUAUAAAAACUGUAAUUGUUACCGUGCUGCAGACACACUUCACUGCACUUACCAAAAUGACACCUUGACCAUGUCUAGCUUUUACAUGCAGCUGUGAAUCAGCAUUCUCAACAGUGAGCAUUAUUAAAGGUCAAUACAGUUCAAAACCGACCAAUCAUAACUUACACGCAUGUCUGCCACUGUCUUCAUUCCCAGCCAUCAAAUGACAGAGUUAAAUAUUUAUGUUUUCAUCCAUAAGUCAUUAAGCUUUCUUUUGUUUGAGAAUAUGUGCUGGUCAGAUCUGGUCAGAAGACCAUACGGUUUAUUUAUUAUAAGCAUUUUUUUUAAUGCAAUAUUGAUGCAUUUCAUAUCUAACAAUA